CACACUUCAAACAAGGUAUCUGUCCAUAUGAAAGUCUAGCACAUCGUUUCCCUGAUGGAUUGAAGAAGCCAUAACGACGAAAACUUCGUUGAUGCCGUUUGAAGUACAGUAGCCCAACCAGAAAAUUUUGGAUAGCUCCAUCUCAUCAUGAAUUUCAAUCAAGAGAGAGUUGGACCCCAAGGGUUGGCUUACUCUCAAGAGGAACGACAUUUUAGAGGAAGCGGAGAUUACAAGCAAAAGGGCUAAGGAGACCAGGAUACUUAAUAUUUUGGUAUCUCAGCCCUGAAAAAACAACCAACAUUUAAAAUUGAAAAGAAGUCUAUAUUUGGAAUAUAAAAACCUCCACCAACUUCUUCCUUGUGGAUCACUUCGAUAAUGUAAAGUACGGACGGACAUCCUUGUUGUAUUGGAAGAAAAAAAAUUUCCAUCCAAAUGACCAUCUCAAGCAAGAGCCAUUGAAAAAUGUCAACCUUGGAAUUAACGAAAA